AGUUAUGGCUAGCACUUUUCAAGUAUUCGCUGAGGACCAGCAGGGAGGGCAAACCCACACAUAUAAAUCAGCUGUCAACGAUAUUUCACAGCAGAUUGGCAAGGGUGCACGCUCUUGCAUCAUCAAAGGAGAUGGACUUUGGCAAAUUUUCACUGGAAAGGAUCUAAAGAGUAUACCUAAUGUUCUCAAAGCUGGGAAAUAUGAUACUCCUGCCUCGAUGGGUAUGCUACGUUCAGGAGCAUUCAGCGCAAAACUUGAAUUGUAGUGACAUUUAAUUUAUCAUUCCAUGUGUUAAUUGAUUUUCAUGAUUAGAAGUGUUAUUUUUUAAACGAGAUUUUUAUCUCUCGUGAUACUGAGCAGAUAAAGAAUUUGAUAUAUCGCACACGGCGUGUUGAGUUUUGUAUUUAUAAUAACAUUGUCU